CAAUAGCGUAUAUUAAAGUUGUUGCAGUUAAAAAGCUCGUAGUUGGAUUUCUGGUGGGGGCCGCUGGUCCGCUGCGAAAGCGGCGUGUACCGAUGCGUGCCUACCGCCAUCCUCGGGUGGAGUGCGUGUGGGAUUAAUUUCUCGUGCGUAGGAUGCCCGUCGUUUACUGUGAAAAAAUUAGAGUGUUCAAAGCAGGCUUUGGCCGUUGAAUACAUUAGCAUGGAAUAAUAAGAUAGGACUUGGCUCUAUUUUGUUGGUUUGUACGCCAAGUAAUGAUUAAUAGGGAUAGUUGGGGGUAUUCGUAUUCAAUUGUCAGAGGUGAAAUUCUUAGAUUUAUGGAAGACGAACUACUGCGAAAGCAUUUACCAAGGAUGUUUUCAUUGA
rnacentral:rRNA from 1 species